rnacentral:rRNA from 1 species
GGCGAUCGAAAGAUUAAGCCAUGCAUGUCUAAGUACAUACCUUAGCACGGUGAAACCGCGAAUGGCUCAUUAAAUCAGUUAUGGUUCCUUAGAUCGUUCAUACUACAUGGAUAACUGUGGUAAUUCUAGAGCUAAUACAUGCAAAAAGCUCCGACCGUAUGGGAAGAGCGCUUUUAUUAGACCAAAACCAAUGGGGUCGCAAGACUCCUUUGUAUGGUGACUCUGGAUAACUUUGUGCUGAUCGCAUGGCUUAGAGCCGGCGACGUAUCUUUCAAGUGUCUGCCCUAUCAACUUUCGAUGGUAAGCGAUUUGCCUACCAUGGUUGUAACGGGUAACGGGGAAUCAGGGUUCGAUUCCGGAGAGGGAGCAUGAGAAAUGGCUACCACAUCUACGGAAGGCAGCAGGCGCGCAAAUUACCCACUCCUAGAACGGGGAGGUAGUGACGAAAAAUAACAAUACCGGACUCAAUGAGGCUCGGUAAUUGAAAUGAGUACAGUUUAAAACCCUUAACGAGGAUCUAUUGGAGGGGCAAGUCUGGUGCCAGCAGCCGCGGUAAUUCCAGCUCCAAUAGCGUAUAUUAAAGUUGUUGCAGUUAAAAAGCUCGUAGUUGGAUCUCGGGUACUAGCAUGUGGUUCGCUUUACUGUCGUAACUACAUGUCUGGUCCUAAUUAAUC